UGGUGGAGCGAUUUGUCUGGUUAAUUCCGAUAACGAACGAGAUCUUAACAUGUUAACUAGUUUGGGUAUCUGAGUGGUAUCUGAAACUUCUUAAAUGGGACUAUUAAUUUUCAAAUUAAAGGAGGUUUAAGGCAAUAACA
rnacentral:rRNA from 1 species